AUCCAGAUGACGAAUCCCAAAUAAGACGAAACGGACGUCCUGGAU
rnacentral:hammerhead_ribozyme from 1 species